rnacentral:rRNA from 1 species
UACGUAGGGGGCAAGCGUUGUCCGGAAUCAUUGGGCGUAAAGAGCGUGUAGGCGGCUUGGUAAGUCCGCUGUGAAAGUCCAGGGCUCAACCCUGGAAAGCCGGUGGAAACUGUCAAGCUUGAGUCCGGAAGAGGCGAGUGGAAUUCCUGGUGUAGCGGUGAAAUGCGCAGAUAUCAGGAGGAACACCUGUGGCGAAAGCGGCGCACUGGACCACAACUGACGCUGAGACACGAAAGCGUGGGUAGCAAACAGG